rnacentral:sRNA from 1 species
UUGUCACAAUGAUAAUGACUGUGAUAACUCUGUAGGUAUUCGUUCGACAAUAGACAUGUGAACAACCAAUUAUGAAAGCUCUGGUCCAAGUGAUUAACCUAGUCCUAAUUAGCGUGGUGGUGAUUAUUAUCCCACCGUGCGGGGCUGCACUUGGACGAAGAAAGGCAUAGAAAUCAAGCCUUAAUCUCAAGAAAACCCCCGCACCGAAAGGUCCGGGGGUUUUUUAUUGGCCGUUAAUCAGACGCGGGGAACAUAAAAUGCACAACAGAAUAAAAUCCUGUGUG